rnacentral:rRNA from 1 species
AGCGAACGCUGGCGGCGCGCCUAACACAUGCAAGUCGAACGUGAAAGGGGGCAACCCCAAGUAAAGUGGCGCACGGGUGAGUAACACGUAGGUAAUCUACCCUAGAGUCUGGAAUAACCUGCCGAAAGGCGGGCUAAUACUAGAUAGAGCGACGGCAUCCGUAAUUGGGUUUUUCGGGAAAGGGAGCUCGCAAGAGCCCUCGCUUAGGAUGAGCCUGCGUCCCAUUAGCUAGUUGGCGGGGUAACGGCCCACCAAGGCGAUGAUGGGUAGCUGGUCUGAGAGGAUGAUCAGCCACACUGGAACUGAAACACGGUCCAGACUCCUACGGGAGGCAGCAGUGGGGAAUCUUGCGCGAUGGACGAAAGUCUGACGCAGCGACGCCGCGUGAGUGAAGAAGGCCUUCGGGUUGUAAAGCUCUGUCGAGCGGGAAGAACAACCUCUGGGUGCAUAGCCCAGAGGCCUGACGGUACCGCUAAAGGAAGCACCGGCUAACUCCGUGCCAGCAGCCGCCGCAG